AAUGAACGUUGGCGGCGUGGAUUAGGCAUGCAAGUCGAGCGCGAUAUGUAGCAAUACAUGGAGAGCGGCGAAAGGGAGAGUAAUACGUAGGUAUCUACCCUCGGGUCUGGGAUAGCAGCGGGAAACUGCUGGUAAUACCAGAUAACGUCUCCGGACCAAAGGUGUGAUUCCACCUGAGGAGGAGCCUACGGCCUAUUAGCUAGUUGGUAGGGUAACGGCCUACCAAGGCAAAGAUGGGUAUGGGGUGUGAGAGCAUGCCCCCACUCACUGGGACUGAGACACUGCCCAGAAAGCUACGGGUGGCUGCAGUCGAGAAUCUUCGGCAAUGGGCGAAAGCCUGACCGAGCGACGCCGCGUGCGGGAUGAAGGCCUUCGGGUUGUAAACCGCUGUCGUAGUGGAGGAAAUGUAGGAGAGUUAUCUCUUCUACUUGACUAAUACUAGGAGGAAGGACCGGCUAAUCUCGUGCCAGCCGCCGCAGUAA
rnacentral:rRNA from 1 species